UUAAAGUUUUAUUCUUGCUUAUUUAUUUAUUGAUUGAAUGAUUUACAUGAAAAUUUUUGUAAGGGGUAAUAACAUCUAAAGGAUAAUAAUUAUUAUUCUCAGUAUUUGGUAUUAGUGAAGUCAAGGAAAUUUGGAGUUAGUAAUUUGAUAUAUGGUCGGCUAAAAUUGUGCCAGCUGCCGCGGUUAGACUUAGGACUUAAAUAAAUAUUAUUGGUGAUGGAGUUAAUUGGAUAAUAGUAAAAAGGUGUUAAAUUUUUUUAUGAAGGUGAAAUUUUUGAUGAAGAAUGACAUUUUAUUUAAUGUAAUGAAGCUUUGAAAUUUAAAAUUUAAACUAGGAUUAGAUACCCUAUUAUUUUAAAUGUAAAUUUUUAUAAUACUAGAGUAGUAAGAGGUAAGUUCUUGAAACUCAAAGAAUUUGGCGGUGUUUUAGUCUUUUCAGAGGAAUCUGUUCUGUAAUUGAUAAUACACAUUAAAUUUAGCUUAAUCUUGUAGUCUCAGUUUGUAUACCGCCGUCAUAAGAUUAUCUUUUUAGAGAAAGAAUUUUCUGGAUCUUUGGAAGACAGAAGGUAGAGAAGAAAAAAGUGAAUCUGAGGAAGAUUUAAUGGUAGAAAAGAGUAUGUCAGGUCAAGGUGCAGCUUAUGAUUAAGUAAGAGAUGGAUUACAAUAAAAUAAUUUAAAUGGAUGGGAUAUUGAAAUAUGUGCCGGAAGGUGGAUUUGAAAGUAAUACUAUUAUAUUAUGAUAGUAUGAUUAUAGCUCUAAAGCAUGUACACAUCGCCCGUCGCUCUCAUUAUAAGGUGAGAUAAGUCGUAACAAAGUAGGUGUACUGGAAAGUGUAUCUAGAAUGAA
rnacentral:ncRNA from 1 species